AACGAACGCUGGCGGCAUGCCUAACACAUGCAAGUCGAACGAGACCUUCGGGUCUAGUGGCGCACGGGUGCGUAACGCGUGGGAACCUGCCCUUAGGUUCGGAAUAACUCCCCGAAAGGGGUGCUAAUACCGGAUAAUGUCUUCGGACCAAAGAUUUAUCGCCUUUGGAUAGGCCCGCGUUGGAUUAGCUAGUUGGUAGGGUAAAAGCCUACCAAGGCGACGAUCCAUAGCUGGUUUGAGAGGAUGAUCAGCCACACUGGGACUGAGACACGGCCCAGACUCCUACGGGAGGCAGCAGUGGGGAAUAUUGGACAAUGGGCGAAAGCCUGAUCCAGCAAUGCCGCGUGAGUGAUGAAGGCCUUAGGGUUGUAAAGCUCUUUUACCCGGGAUGAUAAUAACAGUACCGGGAGAAUAAGCUCCGGCUAACUCCGUG
rnacentral:rRNA from 1 species